GACGAACGCUGGCGGCGUGCUUAACACAUGCAAGUCGAACGGAAAGGCCCUGCUUUUGUGGGGUUCUCGAGUGGCGAACGUGUGAGUAACACGUGAGUAACCUGCCCUUGACUUUGGGAUAACUUCAGGCAACUGGGGCUAAUACCGGAUAGGAGCUCCUGCUGCAUGGUGGGGGUUGGAACGUUUCGGCGGUUGGGGAUGGACUCGCGGCUUAUCAGCUUGUUGGUCGGGUAGUUGCUUACCAAGGCUUUGACGGGUAGCCGGCCUGAGAGGGUGACCGGCCACAUUGGGACUGAGAGACGGCGCAGAGUCGUACGGGAGGCAGCAGUGGGGAAUAUUGCACAAUGGGGGGAAGCGUGAUGCAGCAACGCCGCGUGCGGGAUGACGGCCUUCGGGUUGUAAACCGCUUUCGCCUGUGACGAAGCGUGAGUGACGGUAAUGGGUAAAGAAGCACCGGCUAACUACGUG
rnacentral:rRNA from 1 species